ensembl:lncRNA
GAGCGUUUCAAAAUACACGAAACGACGUGCGUGCAAUAGCGAGAUACGCAGGAGCUACAAAUAGAAGCACUAAAACUGCAGGGCAGGCUUCUCUGAAGCGGCAGCUCGUUCCCUUCAGGAAACGCGCAGUGGCACCGCAGGCCCUCGCCCAGCUGCCCUCGCCGAGCCGCGCAGCGCUGCGGGCGGAUGGAGCCGGCAGCCCGGCACCCGCUGCGCAACCGCGGGAACAUCGCGUACCGAGGGAGGCACGGCCGUCCAGAUGGCCUCCAGCCUGAACAGCCUCAGGCAACGGGGAUUCAAUUUCAUCGCGCCGCCAGGUUAAAACCAGCGGAGCCCCUCGUUUAGUUAAACCCAACAAGCUCCGCACAAAGCGUCACGAGGGCAGACGCCGCGUCACGCUGACACGGCCCCAAAAACCCCUCCGGGAGCGGGGGGCCGCCGCUUCCCGGCCGCCUCCGUUCUGCGUGCGGCCACGGCUCACCGCCGAACCCCCGAGCGCGGCGGAGCUCGGUCGCCGUCCCGCCUGGGUAAAGCCGGCUCCAGCGGCAGAAGCGGCGCAGCCCGGCAGCCGCCCCACGGCCCCACGCUCCCGCCGCCCCGUCGCGCUCGCUCGCCCCCACCCCGACGCCGCGGCCCCGCCGGGUCCCUCCGACUCACAGCCUUCCGCCGCGGCUUCCGCUGGCUGCUCCCGGCGGACGGGCGGCCGCGCUCUAUAUGCGCUGAGGUGCGGCCCCCGGCCCGGGGAACUCCGAGGGAGCGUCAGGGCCGGGAAGCCGCUGGAAAGCCCCGGCGGCGCGCAGCGCAUGCGCCGCACGGCGACAGGGCGGGGCGUCCGUCCGUCCCGUGCCGGCCGUGGCGGCGGCUCGCGGCCUCCGGGCUCCGUCCCCCCGAGCCUCGUGCGCUUCCUCCUUCGCCCCCCGAGCUGCCCGGACCCCCUCAGAGCCGCCGCGUCCCCGCUGCCCGUUUGCUGAGCGAGGAGCGGUGCCGCACGGCGCUGGGCGGGACGCCGGGUGCUUUCCUGGCGCGUUGCCAAGUUACGGGCUGCUGUGGGAGAGGCCGAGUGGUGACCGCCUGCGCUUCGGUCGCUGAAAGUCACGGGGGAACAACGGGAGGAAGGCAAAACCGAGUGCGAAUUUCCACCAGCGUGUGUCAGCGCGUACAGAAAGCUGAAGAACUUCCGCAGCGGGUGCUGCCAGAUCGUGGGACAUUUGAGAUGUCCUUGAAGAGGCUGCACGUCCUGAAGAACAGGUUCCUUUAUGCCUGGAGGGCUGACUGCUGGGACAUGAGACUACAUAAGCUCAGUCUUUCUAAAUGCACUGGGCUUUAAGGAAGACAAUUAGAUUCAGCAAGAGAAAAGAACAUGAAAAAUGCCAAAAGAGAUAACUACACUAAAGUGAUCAAAUUUAAGUGGGAGAGGGAACCGUAUAUACCAUAAGAAUCAAAAGGCUGCUCUUUGGCUGUAUCCAUUUGUUGAAGUUUGGAGCUGCUCAUCCUUAAUAAUACCUUAUCCAAAGGUAUAGUCUUUUUAAACAGCAAGUUGUCUGCUCUGACUCAAAGUUACUUCCUGCUAUUGAAUUAAGAACAAGAAUAGGUCUUAUUUCCUUCCAUUUAUUGCCCUUCAUCUCUGCAAGUUUUAGAUCGUUCCCGCAGCCUUCAGUUUGCUUUAGCUGAACUAACUCUUGCUAUGUACAAUCUUGACAGGUUUGUGGUUUUGGCUGGAAUAGAGUUUUCUUAUAGAGGCUUGUAAGGUGCUGUGUUUUGGAUGUAAGAUGAGAACUAUGUUGAUCACACACCAAUGGUUUAGUUGUUGCUGAACAAUGCUGCACAGAGCCCAGGAUGUUUCAGCUUCUCACACUUCCCUGCCAGUGAGCAGCUGAGGGUCACAAGGAGCUGGGAGGGGGCAGAACCAACACAGCUGACUCAGACUGGUCAAAGGGAUAUCCCAUGCCGAAGGGCGUCAUACUGAGCAAUGAAAGCUGGGAUAAAAAAAGAGGAAGGAGGUGUCAUGGGUGUGAUGGUAUUUGUCUUCCCUAGAAACCACUACAAGUGAGCCCUGCUUUCCUGGGACUGGCUGAACAUCUGCAUGCCGAUGGCAAGUACCAACUGAAUUCCUCGCUUUGCUUCACUUCCAUGUACAGCUUUUGCUUUACCUGGUAAACUGUCUUUAUCUCAACCCCCAGUUCUCGCACUUCUGCGGUUUCUGAUGCUCUCCCCCAUCCCAUUGGGACAGAGUGAGCAAGCAGCUGUGUGCCUGCUGGCUUUAACUGGUUACCCAGAGAGGCUGUGGAUGCCCCAUCCCUGGAGGUGUUUAAGGCCUGGUUCGAUGGGGCCCUGGGCAAUCUGAUUUAGUACUUGGACUAGUGGUUGGCAACCCUGCCUACAGCAGGGGGAGAUAGAAAUUGAUGAUGUUUGAAGUCUCUUCCAAUUCGAGCCAUUCUGAUUCUAUAAUUCUAUGAAUUACAUCACAAGAGACCUUUUGGCACCCACAUAAGGCACAAAGGGUUCAAGGUGAUGACAGAUUGAAGUGUGCAAUAUGUUAGACCAAAUCUAUAGAAGUUGCAGCUGUUUGCUGCUAAUUUGCAGGCUCCUGUCCUUGCCACAGGGCUUGUUUUCCUUACUGCAUGUUAGAGUCAGUACUUGUUAGUGGCUGCUUUUGCUUCUACUGUUUGCUUCACUCCUUAUCAUCUUGCCUUUCUGUGCCUGGGAACAUUCUGAUAACAGCUGUGGAGCUACUCUGGCAGCUGGCCAAGGCAUUGCUGCUGCUCCAUAGCUGCUUGCUAUGGAGAUAUCCAUGUUGCAGCAGGUAUACUUUGCAGUGUCUGUGGAUGACGCCGUGCCAGGAUAUACCUUGAAGCCUCUGUGGCUGUGAAUAAUACAAAAGAACAGUGCCCGAAGGGACCUCUGAGGGAUAUGUGGCCAAUGGACAAGGCCUCGCCAGAGCCACACCUCCAAAUGAAUGUGCCUGUGGAUAAGUCCAUACUGCAGAAGAGAUACCUCUGAAGAGGUUGUGGUCCAUCAGUAAGCCCACACCAGAACAGGUAGACCUCAAAACACCUCUGGAUAACUCCAUGAUACAAUAGGUAUCUCUGAAGGGAUUGUGGCUCAUGGAUUAGCCCUUGCCAGAACAGGUAUACAUCUAAGGGACUUAGGCCAACAGAGAAGCACAGGCUGGGGCAGAGGUAAAGGGAAGAGUUCAUUGCAAUGUUAAACCCUAUAUCCUGGUCCAAAAGGACAAGGGGUGGAGAUGGUAAUGACUAAAGCUUUAGAUUGUUGGAACCCAUAUUCUGAAUUGCAGGACUUUUGUACUUCACGUGCUGCCCUGCUGGUGAGGAGCUGGGGGUACAGCAGGAGCUGGGAGGGACAGAACCAGAACAGUGGACCCAAACUGGCCAAAGGUAUAUCCCAUACUAUAUGGCAUCACUGAGCAAUAAGAGCUGGGGUGAAGGAGAAGAAGCAGAGUAUAUUGGGAUUGGGUCAUAGCUGUGACAAAGUGUUCUGUUUAAAAUUAUGAUGACAUCAGAAAGUAUAUCAUCCACUCAGAGCUUUCAAAUAUCACUUCAGUACAUGGGAAUUCACUAACUUCCAAAAGUCGGCAUUAAAAGAGCAACUUCAGCUUUAUGUUCCCACGUACAAAAUAAAGCCCUAAUUCCAGGAGAGAUGAGAGCUAUG